rnacentral:rRNA from 1 species
AACGAACGCUGGCGGCAGGCUUAACACAUGCAAGUCGAGCGCCCCGCAAGGGGAGCGGCAGACGGGUGAGUAACGCGUGGGAAUCUACCCAUCUCUACGGAAUAACGCAUGGCAACGUGUGCUAAUACCGUAUACGUCCUUCGGGAGCAAGAUUUAUCGGAGAUGGAUGAGCCCGCGUUGGAUUAGCUAGUUGGUGGGGUAAAGGCCUACCAAGGCGACGAUCCAUCAGCUGGUCUGAGAGGAUGAUCAGCCACACUGGGACUGAGACACGGCCCAGACUCCUACGGGAGGCAGCAGUGGGGAAUAUUGGACAAUGGGCGCAAGCCUGAUCCAGCCAUGCCGCGUGAGUGAUGAAGGCCCUAGGGUUGUAAAGCUCUUUCACCGGUGAAGAUAAUGACGGUAACCGGAGAAGAAGCCCCGGCUAACUUCGUGCCAGCAGCCGCCGUAAAAC